GGAGCUGGGCAUCCGGCCUGAGGCGCAGCGGUCGCGUUAGUUCGGCCCAAUGGCGGCACCGCUGCUUCACACGUUGUUUGUCGGGAGAUGCGGCCGCUUCGUCCUCUGCAGUCAAGACGCUGGGCGCGUCGAGGACUGGGAUUUCAAAUAUGCGUGCAUUAGAGAAUGAUUUUUUCAAUUCUCCCCCAAGAAAAACUGUUCGGUUUGGUGGAACUGUGACAGAAGUCUUGCUGAAGUACAAAAAGGGUGAAACAAAUGACUUUGAGUUGUUGAAGAACCAGCUGUUAGAUCCAGACAUAAAGGAUGACCAGAUCAUCAACUGGCUGCUAGAAUUCCGUUCUUCUGUCAUGUACUUGACAAAAGACUUUGAGCAACUUAUCAGUAUUAUAUUGAGAUUGCCUUGGUUGAAUAGAAGUCAAACAGUAGUGGAAGAGUAUUUGGCUUUUCUUGGUAAUCUUGUAUCAGCAUAGACUGUUUUCCUCAGACCGUGUCUCAGCAUGAUUGCUUCCCAUUUUGUGCCUCGAAUGUUACGUUCAUAACUUACUAAGGAUUAGUGUAUAUUUUCCAACCUUGAGGCAUGAAAUUCUGGAGCUUAUUAUUGAAAAACUACUCAAGCUGGAUGUGAAUGCAUCCCGGCAGGGUAUUGAAGAUGCUGAAGAAACAGCAAAUCAAACUUGUGGUGGGACAGAUUCCACGGAAGGAUUGUUUAAUAUGGGAUUCGCAGAGGCAUUUUUGGAACAUCUUUGGAAAAACUUGCAGGAUCCAAGUAAUCCUGCCAUCAUCAGGCAGGCUGCUGGAAAUUAUAUUGGAAGCUUUUUGGCAAGAGCUAAAUUUAUUUCUCUUAUUACUGUAAAACCAUGCCUAGAUCUUUUGGUUAACUGGCUGCACAUAUACCUUAAUAACCAGGAUUCGGGAACAAAGGCAUUCUGCGAUGUUGCUCUCCAUGGACCAUUUUACUCAGCCUGCCAAGCUGUGUUCUACACCUUUGUUUUUAGACACAAGCAGCUUUUGAGCGGAAACCUGAAAGAAGGUUUGCAGUAUCCUCAGAGUCUGAAUUUUGAGCGGAUAGUGAUGAGCCAGCUAAAUCCCCUGAAGAUUUGCCUGCCCUCAGUGGUUAACUUUUUUGCUGCAAUCACAAAGAUGAAGACUUGUGGAUAUGGAUGGUGGUGAUGGUUGCACAACAAUAUCAAUUUAUUUUAUACCACUGAACCGUGCACUUCAAAAUGGUUAAGAUGGUAAGUUUUAUGUUGUGUAUUUUACCAUAAUAAAAAAAAUUGUAGAGGGAAAAA
rnacentral:lncRNA from 1 species